rnacentral:lncRNA from 1 species
GCGCCGGAACCUGCGCCCCGUUAUGGGGCUCUUUUCUAAAGUUUUGGGCGUAUGGUCGCAACCCGGCGAGUCUGGAGUACCGCACCUCAGGGUGCUGAGUGGGACGGAGCCGGUGUUUUCGAUGUUUCCAUGCUUCCUGUGUGGACCGUAGUUGCUCCCCAAGGGCUGGAUUAUGGAAGCCCCCAAGUGCAUCCCGUGGAGCCCAAGUCUCAACCACGUGGGUGCCGGGAGAGGUCACCUGUUCUGUUAUCAGUGACCAUUCAGGUGAUACUUGACGGGGGAGGGGCCCAGGACGCCAGAGACCCGGGCUCUGUCCCAGUGACAUUUCAUUCGCAACAGUGAGCGAGAGAAACAGGAAGGAUCCAGUCUGCCGUCCGUUUCGACCCAGCCAUUCUGACCUCCAAGUUCAUGACUUUCCGUUCCCUAAGUCCAGACAAGGGAUAGCCUCUCCUCGCCCCUGCUUCCUUCCCUUUCAAACCCUCCAUCUUGGGCUCUGGGUGUCCGAAUAUCUCAGCUGUUCGUCCUGUCCCAUGGGUGUCCUCUGUCCUCUUAGUUUUGACAUCCCCAGCUAACACGUACAUACACACACACACACCCAUCCCUUAUUCUCCUUGCCCUACUCUUCCUGGCUCCAGACUUUGCAGCCCUAUUGGUUCCAAGACCUUGGGCAAUCUGACCUUUCAGCUCUUGAACCCCUGUGAUUCUCUAGACAGUUUAGUUUUUUUUUUUUUUGUUUUGUU